rnacentral:rRNA from 1 species
UACGUAGGUGGCAAGCGUUAUCCGGAUUUAUUGGGCGUAAAGCGAGCGCAGGCGGAAAGAUAAGUCUGAUGUGAAAGCCCCCGGCUUAACCGAGGAAUUGCAUCGGAAACUGUGUUUCUUGAGUGCAGAAGAGGAGAGUGGAACUCCAUGUGUAGCGGUGAAAUGCUUAGAUAUCACGAAGAACUCCGAUUGCGAAGGCAGCUCACUAGACUGCAACUGACACUGAUGCUCGAAAGUGUGGGUAUCAAACAGG